GACUAGUAAAUGAGCGAAAGACUAAUCGAACCAUCUAGUAGCUGGUUCUCUCCGAUGUUUCCCUCAGGAUAGCUGGCACUCACUGGAAUAAUCAUUAUUAUCCGGUAAAGCGAAAGAAUAGAUGUACUGUGCUUGAAAUUGACUCAAUCUAUUCUUAAACUUAAAAUUGAUGAGACACUUGGAUCGCCGAGUGUGUGGGUAUUUACUUCUCGCAAUCGGACGUUGAAUGUGCGAGUGUCAAGAGGGCUAUUUUUGGUAAGCGAAGCUGCCACUGGGGUGCACGAUUAAGGUGCCUAACACUGAGGCUCGUGAGGGUGUUGGUUAACAUAAACAGUAGUGCGAUGGUCAUGGAAGUCGGUACCCACUAAAGAGUACGGAUUGACUAGCCCUGAAAGUGGAUGGCGCUAGUACGUAGGGGCUACACCACGCCAUCAUCUCAAUCUGAAACAAUGAGUUCAAUAAAAAAUCUCAUGAAAUGUAAUAAUAAUGGACUCAGUAAAUGCAUUUUUGAAUAUUAAAU
rnacentral:ncRNA from 1 species